rnacentral:rRNA from 1 species
GACGAACGCUGGCUACAGGCUUAACACAUGCAAGUCGAGGGACCGGCGCACGGGUGAGUAACACGUAUCCAACCUGCCCUUUACUCGGGGAUAGCCUUUCGAAAGAAAGAUUAAUACCCGAAUUAAAGGAUGGGGAUGCGUUCCAUUAGGGUGUUGGUGAGGUAACGGCUCACCAAGCCUACGAUGGAUAGGGGUUGUGAGAGGAAGGUCCCCCACAUUGGAACGGAGACACGGUCCAAACUCCUACGGGAGGCAGCAGUGCGGAAUAUUGUUCAAUAGGCGCUAGCCUGAACCAGCCAAGUAGCGUGAAGGAUGAAGGCUUAUGGGUCGUAAACUUCUUGUAGAUAAGAAUAUGUAUUAUAUGAAUAAGGAUCGGCUAACUCCGUGCCAGCAGCCGCGGGAAUUC